AUUCGGUUGGGCACUCUAGAGGGACUGCCGGCGACAAGUCGGAGGAAGUGGGGAUGACGUCAAAUCAUCAUGCCCCUUAUGACCUGGGCUACGACACGUGCUACAAUGGGCGGUACAAAGGGCUGCGAACCCGCGAGGGGGAGCGGAAUCCCAAAAAGCCGCUCUCAGUUCGGAUUGCAGGCUGCAACUCGCCUGCAUGAAGCCGGAAUCGCUAGUAAUCGCGGAUCAGCAUGCCGCGGUGAAUACGUUCCCGGGCCUU
rnacentral:rRNA from 1 species